rnacentral:rRNA from 1 species
UACAGAGGGUGCGAGCGUUAAUCGGAAUUACUGGGCGUAAAGCGCGCGUAGGCGGCUUUGCAAGUCGGGUGUGAAAUCCCCAGGCUCAACCUGGGAACUGCAUUCGAGACUGCAUUGCUAGAGUAUGGGAGAGGGAAGUGGAAUUUCCGGUGUAGCGGUGAAAUGCGUAGAUAUCGGAAGGAACAUCGGUGGCGAAAGCGACUUCCUGGACCAAUACUGACGCUCAUGUGCGAAAGCGUGGGGAGCAAACAGG